GCAAGCUUGGCCGAGUGGUCUAAGGCGGUAGAUUUAAGCUCUACUAUCGAGAGAUGCGUGGGUUCGAACCCCACAGCUUGCA
rnacentral:tRNA from 1 species